rnacentral:lncRNA from 1 species
GUACUGCAACUUCCCAUGCCUCAACAGCCUUUGAUUUUGAAACAACCAGUUCUUCUUCCGUAUACUCCUGUUCGCAGUCCGAUGUAUAUUCUGGACUGGUAAUUUGAGUUUCUCCGUGAUACUGGAUAGGAUACAUUUGGAGCACUAUUUUAUCCUUACCCUUUCCAAUUGUUAGCGUUCCACGACCCCAAUCGUUCUGAGCUUCAGCUUAAUAUAGCCACGGUCGACCCAACAAAAUUGGAUAUGAUAAUACUGUGCUUUGCAAUCGAAAUACAAUAUAAUCAAUUGUGUAUGUAAUCCCCGCAACAAUUGUAUCAAUUCCUUGUAAAGUACCCAUAGGUCGGACUCGACUUGAAUCUGCCAUUCGCAAAACAACCGUAGUUGGCAUUAAUUGGUCCAAUCCCAAUUCUUCUAUUGUAUCCACAUUCAUGAGAUUAACGCUAGCCCCGCCAUCCACUUGUACACCCUGAACUAAUACUCCAUCAAUUGAUACAUCAAUAGUCGGCGCGCUUGGAUCCGGAUUCAAACUUACUUCACGAAUUUCUUUUUGACGAGUUCUUCGUCGAAUCAAAGAAGAG